GUGCUCAUUUUGGCAAUACAUAUACUAAAAUUGGAAUAAUACAGAGAAGAUUAGCAUGGAGCCUGUACAGGGGCCUGCAUGGGACUGGAUUAGGCCCUCUUCAU